GAGUGUGUCCAUGAGUGAGGCAGUAACACAGACAUACAUAGGUAUUUAAGCUGAAGAAUGUACAGUUUAUAUAUAAGUCCUUGUAACUCUAAUGGAGAGGUUGGAUGUGUUCUAGCUCUGGAAAUUCAUCAACUACGAGAAGAUGGCGGAUACUGAAGGAGGAACUUUCUCCAGGAAUGAGACAUAUUACUUAUAGACACAUUUUUUCUCUCUCUAAUAGAUGACUCAGGAUCAUUCCAUGGAAACCGAAAGUCAUGGACACCCUACCGAGAACAAUUAGCAAGCACAACCACUGCUGAUAUCCAUUUCAUUCUUAUAAACGUUGUGUAAAAUAAAAUAUAAUACAUAUAAUACAUAUAAUGAGAUAUAAUACAUAUAAUGUGAUAACACAUUAUUAACACAUUUCCUUUAUAGGAAACAAAGGAAAGCCAAGUGCAGGCUGCACUCUUGUACUUUGACAGUAGAAUGCUUGAUGUAUGACACACAAAAGACACAACUUUGUACACACUUUCAUACCAGAUGUGCAUUAGAGACUACGAUGGCAAAAAAUAAAUCAUGAAAUGAAAUUCAA